AUAUGGCCGACGCGGGUCGGGGUGUAGUGUGUGUUCUCAUCAGCUUAAUUUUUGAUAGGGGUUGUAUUUGAACUCAAGAUGUUAAACUUAUUUUUUUUGCAAUUUGGUGGAGUGCUUUAGGCCUGCUUCACCUCCGCCGUGGGUCGGCCCGGUAUGGCACAAUCAUCGGGAUCGGCCCACAAUUU